CAGGAUGAACGCUAGCUACAGGCUUAACACAUGCAACUCGAGGGGCAGCAUGGUCUUAGCCUGCUAAGGCCGAUGGCGACCGGCGCACGGGUGAGUAACACGUAUCCAACCUGCCGUCUACUCUUGGACAGCCUUCUGAAAGGAAGAUUAAUACAAGAUGGCAUCAUGAGUCCGCAUGUUCACAUGAUUAAAGGUAUUCCGGUAGACGAUGGGGAUGCGUUCCAUUAGAUAGUACGCGGGGUAACGGCCCACCUAGUCUUCGAUGGAUAGGGGUUCUGAGAGGAAGGUCCCCCACAUUGGAACUGAUACACGGUCCAAACUCCUACGGGAGGCAGCAGUGAGGAAUAUUGGUCAAUGGGCGAGAGCCUGAACCAGCCAAGUAGCGUGAAGGAUGACUGCCCUAUGGGUUGUAAACUUCUUUUAUAAAGGAAUAAAGUCGGGUAUGCAUACCCGUUUGCAUGUACUUUAUGAAUAAGGAUCGGCUAACUCCGUGCCAGCAGCCGCGGUAAUACGGAGGAUCCGAGCGUUAUCCGGAUUUAUUGGGUUUAAAGGGAGCGUAGAUGGAUGUUUAAGUCAGUUGUGAAAGUUUGCGGCUCAACCGUAAAAUUGCAGUUGAUACUGGAUAUCUUGAGUGCAGUUGAGGCAGGCGGAAUUCGUGGUGUAGCGGUGAAAUGCUUAGAUAUCACGAAGAACUCCGAUUGCGAAGGCAGCCUGCUAAGCUGCAACUGACAUUGACGCUCGAAAGUGUGGGUAUCA
rnacentral:rRNA from 1 species